GACGAACGCUGGCGGCGUGCCUAAUACAUGCAAGUUGAGCGCUGAAGGUUGGUACUUGUACCAACUGGAUGAGCAGCGAACGGGUGAGUAACGCGUGGGGAAUCUGCCUUUGAGCGGGGGACAACAUUUGGAAACGAAUGCUAAUACCGCAUAAAAACUUUAAACACAAGUUUUAAGUUUGAAAGAUGCAAUUGCAUCACUCAAAGAUGAUCCCGCGUUGUAUUAGCUAGUUGGUGAGGUAAAGGCUCACCAAGGCGAUGAUACAUAGCAGACCUGAGAGGGUGAUCGGCCACAUUGGGACUGAGACACGGCCCAAACCCCUACGGGAGGCAGCAGUAGGGAAUCUUCGGCAAUGGACGAAAGUCUGACCGAGCAACGCCGCGUGAGUGAAGAAGGUUUUCGGAUCGUAAAACUCUGUUGGUAGAGAAGAACGUUGGUGAGAGUGGAAAGCUCAUCAAGUGACGGUAACUACCCAGAAAGGGACGGCUAACUACGUG
rnacentral:rRNA from 1 species